rnacentral:sRNA from 1 species
AAAAUAAAGAAAUAGUUAAUGAUACAAUCAUCCCUUAGGACGUAAUUCUAAUUAAGUAAUCGCUAAGAUUAAUCCAGCCAAAAAAACACAAAAACUUUAAUUGAAAUAUGAA